GAUGAACGCUGGCGGCGUGCCUAAUACAUGCAAGUCGAGCGAACGGACGAGAAGCUUGCUUUUCUGACGUUAGCGGCGGACGGGUGUGUAACACGUGGAUCACCCACCUAUAAGACUGGGAUAACCUCGGGACACCGGCGCUAACACCGGAUAAUAUUUUGAACCGCAUGGUUCAAAAGUGAAAGACGGUCUUGCUGUAACGUAUAGAUGGAUCCGCGCUGCAUUAGCUAGUUGGUAAGGUCACGGCUUACCAAGGCAACGAUGCGUAGCCGACCGGAGAGGGUGGUCGGCCACACUGGAACGGAGACGCGGUCCAGGGGCCUACGGGAGGCAGCAGUAGGGUAUCGUCCGCAAUGGGCGGGAGCCUGACGGAGCGACGCCGCGUGAGUGAUGAAAGUCUUGGGAUCGUAAAACUCUGUUAUGAGGGAAGAACAGAUGUGUAAGUAACUGUGCACAUCGUGACGGUACCUAAUCAAAAAGCCACGGCUAACUACGUG
rnacentral:rRNA from 1 species